UAUUUUUCUGAGCGCUGAUAAUGCUAUUAAAAGACGAGCUCUAUAUUUUCCGUUUUCUAUAUUAUUUUUUUCAUGUAAAAUGAAACUAACAUCUGUAGAACGUAAAUAUUUUUUAUAUAGUUUCUUUUGUUCUUCUGUUAAACUACAAAACAGAACCUAAGAAAAAAUAUAUAUGAAUUGAAAUAACAAAUUAUGAAGUAUUAUGAAAAAUAAUGUAACAUGUUAUAAACCUGUUCAUUUUUUUCUGGUAAACUAACAUGAUGUUGUACAUCAUUUUUUGUUCUUCGGAGCAUAUAUGGUGUAAUAGCAUCUCUAAGCAUCAUAGCAACUUGAAGUGCUGUAGCUUCCUGAAGAGGUGUAGCAUUAGCAUAUCCUCCUCGUGUUAUAGGACCUGCACAAUGCUCUAGAAAUGCAGAAUUUUGCAUAGGACUACCAGUUAACAAAAGUCGAUGUGGUGUAGAAAACUCCUUUACUGCUUUACUGACCUGCAAUAAUAUAAUCUUGAACUUUCAUAAUUAAAGUUAAAUUGAACACAUAAAUUACCUUUGCUUGUGGAUUUCUUAUUUUAUGGCCUUCAUCAAGUAUAACAUAAUGCCAUUGAUUGGAUACAAUUCCAGAUUGAUG